rnacentral:pre_miRNA from 1 species
AUAGGAAUCACCUAGGGGUCUUGCUAAUCUGCAGAUUCUGACUCAGUAGGACUGGGAUGGGGACCAAGAAUUUGCAUUUCUAACAAGUCCCCAGGUGAUGAUGCU